rnacentral:rRNA from 1 species
AUUGAACGCUGGCGGCAGGCCUAACACAUGCAAGUCGAGCGGCAGCACGGGAAGCUUGCUUCCUGGUGGCGAGCGGCGGACGGGGUGAGUAAUGCAUAGAAAUCUGCCCGGUAGUGGGGGAUAACCUGGGGAAACCCAGGCUAAUACCGCAUACGUCCUACGGGAGAAAGCAGGGGAUCUUCGGACCUUGCGCUAUCGGAUGAGUCUAUGUCGGAUUAGCUUGUUGGUGAGGUAAUGGCUCACAAGGCGACGAUCCGUAGCUGGUCUGAGAGGAUGAUCAGCCACAUCGGGACUGAGACACGGGCCCGA